CAGAAAUUCACUGUUUUUAACGGAUUACUUUGCAGGCCACAUAGUACACAUCUACAGCUGGACCUGAGUCCAGGAACAAAACCAACAGCCCACAGCAGGAAGGGCGGCAAGGAGGGGCUCCUGAGGCCACAGCCCCCGCUGCUGCCGGCGGACAUCUUCACCCCCUAGGACUCCUGUGUCCCCUUGGUACCGGCUCUGGGGGUGAUGGUCACAAACAGGCACAUCUGCUCCCAAACCAUGGUGCAGAAGGGCUCCAGUGCUGGGUCUGAAGAGGAACCGGGAUUUCGUGCAGAAGCAGGCAGAACUGGAUGCGCUGCGUUUUAUCUGGCAACACCAUGGGAGAGCCAGGGGGGCUGGGCUGAGUUCUCUAACCCCGUGAGGACCAGCACGCCGGGAGGCUCCGCAGAGAGAAUGAAAGCAAAGCCGAAGACGCAAUCUGAAAUCCUGGCUUCCCCAGGAAAAGCCAGUGCCAGAUCAGAGGAGGGGAAGGUUACUCACCACCCCGGGGCAACCGUUUUCUGUAGUAGCUACUAACGAGGAGAAAAGAAAAUCAUCACAGUCAAAGCAAGUUCAACAAAAACAGCAUUUUGCUGCUAACUUGCUCCAAGAAAACCUAAAAUCUUCAACUGGCUCAUUCGUCCUCCAGUACCUCUGAUGAAAAGGUAGACAGACUUUUCCACUAAUUAUUUCAGCCACUGUGAAAAUAUGAAAGCUGACCUGGGAGAGAAGAUACAUAAUAAAAACAAACAAAAAACCUCACGGCCAGCGCUGACUUUGUCAAGAAGAGGGACUCUGGACACACAAGGGGCACCUGGGGGUGCAUGCGCACAGAGGGAUGAUCACAGGAAGACACAGCAAGAAGGCAGCCACGUGCACGCCAGGGAGCGAGACCUCAGGAGGACCCAGCCCUGCCACACCUUGAUCUUGGACAAACAGCCUCCAGGACUGUGAGACCAUCAAUGUCUGUCGUCUAGACUGCCAGUUCUGUGGUGCUCUGUGAUGGCAGCCUGAGCUGACUCCUCCAGUCCCCAGGACCCUCCUGAUAGGUUUGUGAAACAGAUGCAUGGAACAAACAGAUUUCUGAAAAGAACCUCCAUCUAUCCAGGUUUCCUGGGAUUUCCCUAAUCACCAUCAAACAAACACUCUGUUACCAGCCCUGCUGGCAUCUCUGGAUGAACUCAAGAAACGGGAUCCUGCCUCUGAGUUUCCGCCCUCCACUGGUGUCACCGUCUCCUGUCCUGAGUUUCUCUCCCCGUUCAGCCAAAUCCUUCCCUUUCAGACUCGCUCUACCCCAGGUCAGAACCAACUGCCUAUGGUACACAAGCUCCCCUUCCUCUCACCUCAGAGGGCCUGGAGUCCACGCCUAAUUCCACAUCUAAUUCCUUCCUAAGCUGUGCCUCCUGACUCCAGCUCUGAGAACUAAUUCCAUUACACAUACACCCUCCAACCCUCCUCUGGACACAUACAUUUGUGAAAUGUAACUGGAUAGAACAAAAACACACAGGUCAUUUUGCUGCUGAAUUUUUAAGAGGGCUUUAUAUGGCAGUGUCUCAGAGAAAGGGGUAAACGCAGCAUUUCCCAAGUGCACUUGCCCCAGACAUUCUUUUCCCCUGGGGCUCAUAAACAAUCUCCCACAACAGGAAGAGAAGCUAUGGUCUGAGUUGCCCAUAGUCCCUUCCUUGCUACACUCAAGAUCUUAGAAGCAAAAGCCAAUCACAUACCUACAAUGCAUGGCCCACUGAGGCCAGCACCCUGCCAAGUAUUAUCGCCUGAAAGAGGGAUAGCAUUAGGAGAUAUACCUAAUGUAAAUGACGAGUUAA
rnacentral:lncRNA from 1 species